UCUUCAAAUGUUUUCAAUUUUAAAGUUGAAGUUACUGUUUGUCAUUAAAAUUUGGGACGAUACAACUCCGAAAUUCCUCAAUAUUUAAACAGCCGGGCUGGUGACGAUACCUUUCAUUUCAUUGUACCAUGCAUCAUGAUUCAUUUGAAUGUAGAAUGAAACAUUGUUUUCAUGAAAACAUAACGUAUAAACAACGGUAUUCACAAAUUUCUGCAAAACUGAUCAUCUAAUAAUGGGACUUCUUAGAAAAACUUAAUGGCAUUAUGCAGAAAAUGCUCGACGAAGAAAAUGUAUAGGGAGCAGAAGAACUCAGGAACGAAUAUAAACGCAUAAGCGAAAAAAUAAGAAAACAAAUAAAGAGCAUCAAAAAAUGUUACUUUAAGAAACUUGGAAAUGAAGCGCAAACAAAGGAAAUACCAGACACCUCUACAAACUCAUACGAGAACUCAGCAAUACAAAUGCAUCGAGCACCACCACAGCAGUAGAGGAUUAAACAAGAUGCCUCACAAUAGCGAAAGACGCCCAAAUGAAAGUUUGGAGAAAUCAUUUCGAAAAUAUCAACGAUGCAUCCAACGAACAGCAAUAUUCCAAAUGAAACCCAUCCCACAUAGAAAUGUAAUCCGCAAUUGAUACCUUGAAGAACGGUUGAGCGGCCGGAAACGACGGUAUACCGACAGAAUGUAUAAAGGGAGUGUUACAUACUAUGCGCGCGCAUCAAAAAUUCAACACUGCAAACAAAUCCCACAAAAGCCAGGAUUCACGGAAUAAGGUUAAUCCCUAGGCGGGUUUAAAAAGGUGGUCUCACGCGAACAGCUGUUAACAGCGGCCAGGUUUGACGGUAUUAAGAUGUCAGAUUUUUGUGAGCCCUCUGUUUGUUGUUAUCUUCUUUCUCGCAUAUUCUCUGAUCAUGUACGAACACCCAAGAUAUAUUUAUUAGUAGAGGCAGUUGCGCAACAAGAAAAUAUUGAGUGCACUAUCUGUCUCAAUUACUGAUUAGUGCAACUGUGA
rnacentral:sRNA from 1 species